CGCGUAGGCGGGGAUUUAAGUUAGAUGUGAAAACUCCGGGCUUAACCUGGAGACUGCAUUUAAAACUGGAUUUCUUGAGGGCAGGAGAGGAAAGUGGAAUUCCUAGUGUAGCGGUGAAAUGCGUAGAUAUUAGGAGGAACACCAGUGGCGAAGGCGACUUUCUGGACUGUACCUGACGCUGAGGCGCGAAAGCGUGGGGAGCGAACA
rnacentral:rRNA from 1 species